UGAGCAUAUUGAAAGUGAAGGAUUUUCGAACGCUCGCAUGGGCCAUCAUUGUUCAGCGCUGGAGCAGUCUGGUUUGCUCCCUCCCUCCAGUCCUCUGGCCGUGAUGUCCUCUGGCUGUGAUCCCCGCUGGCUGGACCUGCUCCCGCACGCAGAGGUGAUGGAGCUCAUUCCUGCCACCGCCUCUCCAGCCAUCUGGGAUUGGAUGGUCUUAGUGACCUACGUCCUUAUCUCAUCCUGUUUCAGACUCUCAGGGCUGGAGCUCGGUCCUACCCAGGUAGUGAGAAGAGAAUUGUUAUGAAUCACGUUACUACUGAGUGCCCCGAUGCUGGGCCAGGGGCCUUCCUGUGCGUCCUUCAUUCAAUAAAUAUCUCAGUUCCUGCUUU